rnacentral:piRNA from 1 species
UCCACUGCCAAGUCCUCAUUUUCCAUGUCGU